UGACAACUCUGAGCAGUGGAUCACUCGGCUCACGGGUCGAUGAAGAACGCAGCUUGUUGCGAUAAUUGGUGUGAAUUGCAGGACACAUUGAACACCGAGCUUUCGAACGCGCAUGGCGGCCUCCUGUCUUCCCGGACUGGAGGUCUCGCCUUUUUGAGGGUCUUAUCUUACCUAUGCCUUAUAUUUGGGUCCAUUGGCCAAGUCGGGUGUCUACCCGUCGGCUCAAGUGUGAAAGGAAUUCUUCCGAGCCGUCUGACUCGUCUGGUAUGGCUGGUGUCCGGGGGAGCCUUUCCCAUGAAGGGCCACUCUCGGGUUCGUCCGACUGCUCCCUUGAGACGUCAUUAAGAAUCGGGAGGAGGUACCUUAAGAACUUUGAAAUUUUUUGGUAACGACCUGAGACAGACUAGACUACCCGCUGAAUUUAAGCAUAUUAAUAAGCGGAAGGAAAGAAAACAACUGUGAUUCCCCUAGUAGCGGCGAGCGAACAGAGAUCAGCCCAGCGCCGAAUGCCUACCUCGUGCAGGGAAAUGUGGCGUUUGGGCGAGUCGGCUGGGCGGGCCUAGUGUGAGCGGGAAGUCCCCACGAUCGGGGCAUCUUCCUUAGAGGGUGUGAGGCCCGUUUUCGCUCAUCGUGGUUCUCCCUCGACUCGCCCGCGUGUCAGGUUGCUUGGAAGUGCAGCCCUAAGACAGCUAGUAAACUCCACCCAAAGCUAAAUAAGACCUUAGACCAAUAGCAAACAAAUACCGUGAGGGAAAGUUGAAAAGAACUUUGAAGAGAGAUUUUAAUAAAACGUGAAACUGUUCAGAGAGAUACGGGUGGGCCCUCGAA